UAUCAAUAUUACCUUGUUCAGAACUUAAAGAGAAAUCUUGAGUUUAUGGACUUCAGGGGGAGUAUGGUCACAAGGCUGAAACUUAAAGGAAUUGACGGAAGGGCACACCAGGAGUGGAGCCUGCGGCUUAAUUUGACUCAACACGGGAAAACUUACCAAGACCGAACAGUAGAAGGAAUGACAGAUUAAGAGUUCUUUCAUGAUUUAUUGGGUAGUGGUGCAUGGCCGUUCUUAGUUGGUGGAGUGAUUUGUCAGGUUAAUUCCGGUAACGAACGAGACUGAAACCUAUUAAUUAGUUUUCUGCCUAUAAGACAGAAAUGUUCGCAAGAACAGGUGCGUAAGUACCACUUCUUAAAGGGACACAUUUCAAUUGUCCUAUUUUAAUUGUAGUUAUCUAAUUUCGGUUAGACCUCUU
rnacentral:rRNA from 1 species